rnacentral:lncRNA from 1 species
UGGGUAGGAGGGACAUUAUGCACGGGAAUGUCCUCAGGCGACUUUGGUUGCACCAUCCCAGCAGAUGACCUCAGGUAGUGUCGUACAGUCAGCAGCUUCAGCCCGUCCACCAAGCAGUGGCAGAGGUAGAGGAAGAGGGGCAGCCUCUUCAUCAGGGAUGGGUUCCCGAGGUGCAGGUCCGUCAGCUCCAGCACAGAUUUUCACCAUGACGCAACAGGAGGCAGACAC